UACGUAGGGGGCUAGCGUUGUCCGGAAUCAUUGGGCGUAAAGCGCGUGUAGGCGGUCCGGUAAGUCCGCUGUGAAAGUCGGGGGCUCAACCCUCGGAUGCCGGUGGAUACUGUCGGACUUGAGUACGGGAGAGGCGAGUGGAAUUCCUGGUGUAGCGGUGAAAUGCGCAGAUAUCAGGAGGAACACCAAUGGCGAAGGCAGCUCGCUGGAACGUUACUGACGCUGAGACGCGAAAGCGUGGGGAGCAAACAGG
rnacentral:rRNA from 1 species